AUUGAACGCUGGCAGCAGGCCUAACACAUGCAAGUCGAACGAGUGGAGGACGGGUGAGCAAUGGCUGGGAAACUGCGUGAUGUAGGGGGAUAACGGCUGGAAACCGUAGCUAAUGCCGCAUACCAUCAGUUGUGCCCACAUGGGAUUAGCUGGUUGGUGGGGUAACGGCUCACCAAGGCGACGAUCCCUAGCAGGCCUGAGAGGAUGACCAGCCACACUGGAACUGAGACACGGUCCAGACUCCUACGGGAGGCAGCAGUAGGGAAUAUUGGACAAUGGGCGAAAGUCUGAGCGAGCAAUGCCGCGUGAAUGAAGAAGGUUUUCGGGUCGUAAAGUACUGUUGGCAGGGAAGCGUUACCCGAACAGGAAGCCACGGCUAACUACGUGCCAGCAGCCGCGGUAAUAC
rnacentral:rRNA from 1 species